GCUGAGCCGCAUAUUACAAUAAACUGAAUUAUUUCUAUAUAAAAAAAAGGUUUUCUAUUGUCCUAUUUCCCCCGGACUCGACUCGUGUUAUUUGAUUUCAGAAGUAAAGAACACUGGAGCUGUUUUACUUCCAACAAAAUGUUUGAAAGAAAGAUCUGCUCACUACUAUUAAAGCAGAGCAACAAAACAAAAUCUAUUUGUGUGCCGGCAAUAGGCACUAGGGAGGAUUGAUGUCGGACAAGCCAGUGUAGCGGUGGAAAAAAAAAGAUGCGCAAUCAAUAUUCGGACCGCAUCCGGACUCUGGGGGAACCCUAAUCUCUGGAUAAACGCUCAAAUAAACCGAGAGGAAAUGGCAAAUGAUACAUCGAAAUCUAAAGCACGAGCUCCACCCUGUCCAUGGUCUAAUUUCAAGCAGAAGACUUAGAGGGGAACGAUUUUAAGGCCUCCUUAAGGAUCGUAAUCUAUGACUGAAAACAAACUGACCCUUUAUUGCAGAUCCAUUUCGUACUGAGUUACCUGAGUGCAACGCGAUCAGUUACUGCCCCCCGUGUAAAGACGUGUUUAUUCCCUUCCUACAGCAACUUCGUAAAACCAGAAAGGUAUUUUAGCUGCCAGUAUUCCAUUUAGGGAAAGCUUGUAUUCUUAAUCGAUGCGGGUUUGAGAUGUGACGCAUUCCAGUAAAAUGUACUCAACUCAAACAAAUUAGUAUUUUAACUUUUGAAUGUUUCCCAAUAAUUAUCUCGCUCACUGACCUUUCUUUUUUCUGUGCAUCAUUACUCAAUACAGUUUCUGGUAAAAUUUGGGCACACAUGUCACAGUGUUCAAAGCGACUAAGAUCGCUGAUUAAACAAAUGGAACAAGUGGUGAAACGGAGGAUUUUUCUGAAAUUGGGAAACCGUUUUAUUCCGUGGUUACCCAGGAUAUCUUGGGUGAUGUAUUUCCAAUGAAAUCAUUGUCACAAUUCUCCAAGAAUUAUAUCCCCAAGACGAACGAGAGCAAAAUUGCUCUUGGACACUAUGUGCCCAGGCUUUGGAAUGGAUGGAAAAGGUAAUGGGAUGUUAAUGAAGAACCCCUAACGAUAAAUUGGUAAAUCUGACGUUUUCUAACAUUUCAAUUUAUUAACAAGGGGAUAUAAAUUCUAAUGCAUUUUCGAAGUUGACGUAGAAGGGCGGUGCCCUUUUGAACAUAUUAAGAAUAUUGGGUCAGCAUUUUUGAAACAAAGGAUAGUUCUACUCAUGCCAAAUACAUAUUUAACCUGAGAUUACAUUCCGGGUCCUCACUUAUUCUGUGCAUAGGGAUAUUUAGCAGCAUUUGUAUAGAAAUAUAUAUGGAAUCUAGAGUCG